rnacentral:lncRNA from 1 species
AGUAUGCCACACUUGGUUGACAAAUGCAAAUACUUUGAGAGGAUAUCCCAGCAGACCCCACUGUGGUUUGAGGGUUUUCUCGUCAUCUUGCAUUAGAGAAAAUGAUGCUGAAUCACAUACACUUAACAAAUCAAAAAGCAACAAACAUAUGCUGGCCUUGACAGCUCUACCACUGGCUGGUUCCAGCAGGCCCUGGGUUGUGUGUGUUGGGGCUCCUCCCCAGAGAGAUGAAGAGAUGGACCGACAGUAACAGAAGGCCCUCGAA